AGGGUUCGAUUCUGGCUCAGGAUGAACGCUGGCGGCGUGCUUAACACAUGCAAGUCGAACGGAGUUUUUAAACGGAAGUUUUCGGAUGGAAGUUUAAGAACUUAGUGGCGGACGGGUGAGUAACGCGUGGGUAACCUGCCUCAUACAGGGGGAUAACAGUUAGAAAUGACUGCUAACACCGCAUAAUAUAGCGAAACCGCAUGAUUUUGCUAUCAAAUAUUUAUAGGUAUGAGAUGGGCCCGCGUCUGAUUAGCUAGUUGGUGGGGUAAAAGCCUACCAAGGCGACGAUCAGUAGCCGGCUUGAGAGAGUGACCGGCCACAUUGGGACUGAGACACGGCCCAAACUCCUACGGGAGGCAGCAGUGGGGAAUAUUGGACAAUGGGGGAAACCCUGAUCCAGCGAACCGCCGCGUGAGUGAAGAAGUAUUUCGGUAUGUAAAGCUCUAUCAGCAGGGAAGAUAAUGACAGUACCUGACUAAGAAGCCCCGGCUAACUACGUGCCAGCCGCAGC
rnacentral:rRNA from 1 species